GAUAUAUCAAGAUAUGAAGAUAAUAUAACAACUAGAAACAAGAGAAAAUAAGUUGCAUUGCGCAUUUGGAAACAGAGCUCACAUGGAUUCUAUUGUAAUUUUGGGUGUUCAAAGGGAAACAAAGAAGGCAGAAAUAGCUCAGGUCAAAAAUCCGGUUAACAGCAAAACUUUUAGUACAGAUAUGAGAUAGCUACUGCACCAUCAUUUAAUAUGAGUUGAGACUGUUUAAUACAUGUUACAUUUAGUAUACAACUAGAGAAAUGAAAAGACAUGAGACAUCUAAUCUUCCUCAUCCCUAGACAUAACUACUGAUAAG